GGCCGAGCACCCCCAUGUUCUAGAAGCUUCUCCCUUGCGUGAAUGUAGCAAUAGACUCCGGCAGUUGGGAUCUCCUGGCAGCGAAUCAUAACAAAUUUUGUCCCAAAAUCUAAUCUCCGUAGCGAAGCUGUCAUUGUUUGUUGCGAUUAUCCCGGUAGAUUUCGACUCAGACUCGAUUCCAUCCUGCGAUUAUAAAAGUCCAGCCACCAUAGCCAUGCGAGCAGCGCACGUCGGAGAGGGAGCUCGGGUGUCGUCGAGUGCGGAACCAGGGAGCCCCGUCGUCCGGGGGGCUUCACCGCGCCGCGCUGGUCAGGUCCGUGGCUUUGGCCGGGCAGGUUUUCGCCCAGAAUUGCGGAUUGGGCGGACCUUCUGUCACGGAGCUUCUUCUCGUCGCGAGCCGCACCGAUUGUGCCCGGAUUCGUGGUAAGUCUUUGUUUAUCGAGUUCUAGGCUUAGCCCGGAGUCGAUUGUCGACUUUUAGCCGCGGGAUUGGUGCGUCAGGGCACGGAUUUGGUUUGCUCCGGCGAGGUCGCGGCCGUCGAUUUGGGCGGCGCUGCCUCGGGUGGAUGUUGGGGGGAAGAUGGUGGUUGUCCGUUAGAUUACGAUCCAACGGAUAUGAUUGAUCGGGAGCGAAGGGGUGUCCUGAGCCGUUGAUCGAUAGAUGGGCGGCACGGAUUAGAUCUCUGCGUACCCCCUUCGGCCAACACAUUUGCUAAAGCGCCCCUGCUCUAUAUAGUAAUCAACCCGCGGUACAAUCCUGAGUCUUGGAACUAUUUGCAUAGUAGACCCUGUGCUCUAUGGAAUUCACAGCCGCGGUCCAGUCAGUUAUUAAAUAAGAGAAAACAUAAUCAAAAUGAAUUUCUUAUAUAAAAACAAUUCCAGAAUCUUGUUAAAUCCAUAGAAAAUUCAUAUUAAGUCCGAAUUGACCCAUUCUUGUUUCUAUAAUUUUGUAAUAUUAUUGUCUAUCGGCUAGUGUCUCUGGUUUGACAUGAAAACUAUAUUAAAAAUUAAUCUCUCAAUUAAUCUUGUAUCAAAUACAUAAACCUUUGGAAAUUUCUAACGUCCCCAUUUUAACUCCGUUUUGAUCCAUUCUAGUUUCAUUAGUCUCACCAUAAUAUUUAUUAUCAUCUGGUAACUUUGUUUUGUCAUGAGAUAUAGGUUAAAAUGUUGCACUUAGUCUAUUAUAUACUUAACCGUGGAUCUUCUAUAAAUCAUAACUCUUUAACCGUAAUUCCGAAUUUAGUGGUUCUUGUUUCCACGAUCUCGUAGCGACGCGUAGCUUAUUCUUACACAGUUAGUUCUUAUGAUUGAUGUGAUGUUAAUUUUGUCUAUACCAUGUUUGUUUGUAUUGCUACGACUAGCAGUGAGGUUACGAAUCUCGAAGAGCAAGUUGGUACCUAGAAUCUCAAGUCCCAGGCAAGUUGUGCCCUUGAUCACUUCUUUUACCCAGUCAUGUUCUUAUUAAUCAUAAUGAUCUGCAUAGGUUAAUUUUGAUGGGACCCAAUAGGAUACCCUAGAUUUUGACUAUCUUUAUACCUUGCUUCACCACUGGUUUUACUACUAAGUUUUUGGGUAGUACAUGCUAUUGCUUUAUGUGGAUUUGGGUAUAGAGAUAUUCAUCACUCAUUUUUACACUUGUUAUUAUCUGUUCAUUAUUUUAUGUUCAUGAUAAGAUCAUUAUGUUAAUGGGAACAUGGAGAACCACCCAGGAAAACAGUGCUACCACAAGGGUUUAUGGACGCCCUUGGCUGAUUAAUUAGGAAAGCUAGUGGAGGACUACCUUACCCGAAAGGGGCAAGGGCAGUAGGGGAGUGGUCAGUGUAGGGAGGUCCUUGGUUGAUUUUGCUGCGAUGGCGGUCAGGCAAGAACCCUGCACUGGAGCUUCCUAUAAACUGUAGCGGGUUUUCUGAAGCUAGUGGAACUUUGUAAAGGCCUCGUAGUGGUACCCUGCCUCGCUUCCUUGGUAGAGGUGUAUGGAGUCUGAUCAACUCUGUGGCAAAUGGGUAACACGACUUGUGGGUAAAGAUGCGCAACCUCUGCAGAGUGUAAAACUGGUAUACUAGCCGUGCUCACGGUCAUGAGCGGCUCGGACACUCACAUGAUUAAAUUAUGGAACUUAAACUCAAUUUGUCAUAUGCAUUGCAUCGCAGGUGAGGUUGUUACUUUUGUUCUACUACUUAAUUGGGUUGGUAUUUACUUAUACUUAGUAAUUGCUAAUAAAAUUUUGACCAACUUUAAAAGCAAUGCUCAGCUCUAACCAUCCUCUUUGGUAAGCCUUACACUUCACGUGAGCUCCCACCUUUGGCGAGUUCAUGCACAUUAUUCCCCACAACUUGUUAAGCGAUGAACGUAUGUGAGCUCACUCUUGCUGUCUCACACCCCCCCACAGGUCAAGAACAGGUACCAUAGGAUGAGGCGCGUGGAGGAUGCUGCGAUGUGUUCGUGAGAGGUCUAGGUCGUCGUCUCCCAGUCAACUUUGGUUUGCUGGACCGUUGUCUCCUUAUAAUGUAAUUAUUUAUUUUGUACAAAACUCCUAUUAUAUAGUAAAGAUGUGACAUUCGAUCAUGUGCCAUGAUUCAUCAUAUGUGUGAGACUUGGUCCCAGCACACCUGGUGAUUAUGUUCACGCCCGGGUCUUGGUGCCCCAAAAUCUGGGUGUGACACUCCCUGAUCAGGUCCCCGAAAGUCUUACUCAUCGCUCGCACAAAUGUUGGCAAGGCGUUCUUCAGACCGUAGGGCAUCACGACAUAGCAGUAAAGCCCAUCCACUGUUACAAAAGCGAUAUGCUUCCUAUCUUCCCUAGACAUCUGGAUUUGAUGGAAACCAGAGUAAGCAUCUAAGAAAGACAAAAGGUCGCACCCGGAGGUGGAAUCCACGAUUUGAUCUAUUUGCGGAAGUGGAUACGGGUCUUUAGGACAAGCCUUGUUAAGGCUGGUGUAGUCGAUGCACAUCCGAAGCUUCCCAUUCGCCUUGGGGACGAUGACUGGGUUGGCCAGCCACACUGGGUGAUGGACCUCUUCGAUAAAGCCAGCGUCUAGCAGCUUCGGACCUCGUUCGGAUGAAGUCCUAUCGCUCGACAGACUUUCUGCGAGGCUUCUGACUCACCGGCCUGGCGUCAGGGUUGAUCUUCAGAUGGUGCUCGAUCACCUCCCUGGGGAUCCUAGGCAUCUGCAACGGCUCCCAUGCGAACAUGUCGGCGUUUGCCUGGAGGAAGGAGACGAGCGCGAGUUCCUGUUUUUCCUCCAGAUCACCCGCAAUGCGAGUGGUCUGGGAGGAACCCGCGCUGAGCUGGACGACCUUGAUGGGGACGUCGUCCGCUCCGGAUGGCUGCACCUUCGACACUUUGGUAGGCGCCUUGGUACCAGAGGUCGAGGGGUUCUUCCCUCCGUCGUCUGGGCAAGCAGCUUUUGCCGCUAGGGCAUGCAGCUUUUCCAUAGCCGCGAGCGCAACGGCGCGGUCGCCCUGCACGGUGAGGACCCCGGCCGGAGACGGCAUCUUGAGGACCAAAUACCCGUAAUGGGCGAUGGCCAUGAACCGGUACAGGGCCGGCCUGCCGAUGAUGGCAUUGAAGGGGAGGUUAACCUUUGCGACAUCGAAUACGAUGUUCUCCAUGCGGAAGUUCUCCUCGGUCUCAAAUGUAACUGGGAGUGCGAUGCUCCCAAGGGGAUACAUCGGUUGUGGGCCCAGUCCAGAGAAUGGACGAGAGGGUCCCAGCCGAGACCUUGGGAUCUGUAGCUGCUUGAAUGUAGCAUGACUGAUGACGUUGAGGCCGGCCCCUCCGUCCAUCAGAACAUGGUGCAGCCGCAUGUUGGCGAUGACAAGAGCGGUGAUGAGCGGUAGUACACUGGCCCCUGCCAUGUUUUCGGGGCAGUCGGAUGCCCCAAAGGAGACAGUGGUGCUCCUCCACCGCUGAUGUGGAGCAGCCUUCGGGACCCCUGGGACCGCCAAAAGGACCUCUCGACGCAGGGACUUGAUGUUCCUGCGGGAGGUGAGCUCCCAACUCCUGCCGUACACCAUGUACAACUUCUUGCGGCGGUCGUCGUCGUCACCAGAGUCGGAGUCUCUAGUGAAGACGUCCUUGAGGCCCCCCUUGGGUGACUGAUACCCGAGCUCCCGUUCCCCUGCGGCUACUUCGCCGUCGUCGACCCUCUCCUUGCUAGGUCGGCGAUGGGGUGGGGAGCCAUCCUUGGAGGACUGCUCGCGACGCUCGCUGACGCGCUUCGCGAGCUUGAUUAUCUCGCGGCACUCCAAAGCGCUGUGGCGACUGUUGGGGUGCAUAGGGCAUGUGCCGCUGUUUCCACCCUACGGCCGGGGGCGCUUGUUGCGCUCGCUCCAGCCCCCAGCUGUCGCUGCGAUGACCGGAGCGGCAGUCUGCGGCUUCUCGUGGCCGCGGUUCUUCUUUUUCUUCUUUUUGCCGUCUUGGGACACGGCACCCGAGCCACCCGUCUGGGUGACCUCGAUCUGUGGUGCCGAGUGCCAUGCACGGCCCUCGGCAGCCCUGGCACACUUGUUGGCCAGAGCGAAGAGUGUGGUGACAGUUUCCAUGUCGUGUGUGGCUAACUUUUCCAACAUCUUUUCAUCACGCACUCCCUGGCAGAAAGCGGUGAUGAUGGAAGCAUUUGAAAUACGAUGAAUAGUGCCUCGUACCUUGGUGAAGCGGGAGAUAAACGCCCAGAGAGUUUCUCUAGGCUCCUGCCUCACUGCGUGGAGAUGGGCUUCCACGCCAUGUUGCUGAUAAGCGCUGGCGAAGUUCACUACAAACCUUGCGCAGAGCUCUUCCAAGGAGUAGAUCGAUUCUGGGGCAAGGUUCAUGAGCCAAGUCCGGGCCGGCCCAGACAAGGCAACAUGGAAGUAUGUCGCCAUUACGGUGGUGUCUCCACCGGCUGUCGUAAAUGGCGGUGACGUAAACCUGCAAGAAUUCUGACGGAUUUGUCGUACCGUCGUACUUCUCCGGCAGGUGUGGCCGGAACUUGGAUGGCCAGGUCGCCGCGCGGAGAUGAUCUGCUAGAGCGGCGCAGCCCACGCCGGCCAAGGGGACACCCGUCUGGAUCCGGGCGCCCGUUGGGGUCUGCGGUGCAACCGCAGCAAAGUCGUAGUCGAGGUUGCGACCCUCGAUGUUUUGUCGGCGCUCACGCACCCUCUCCAGAGAGACGCAGACAUCCCCGCCCACACGCCUGCGGUUGAGUUCCACCCGCAGGUCAUUAGACCUCUCCAUAGAGACUGGGGCAUCCUCGCCCGCUCGCCGGCGAUUGAGCUCUGCCCGCAGGUCCUCAGUCAGCGCGACCCUCACCGAGGGAGAGCGCAUUGAUACCGACGCCUCAUGCUGGCGUUGGGAUGACCGAGGCCUUGGCCUGGUUGAGCCAGAGUGCGCCAUGCUGAGCAGGCGGUCGACGUCGUCACGCCACUGCUUCAUGGCCCCCGAGGAGGCCGUGGAGCUAGGAGGGUGGCGCAGCAACUCUCUAGCCGCUGACAGCGCCCCAGGCGCAGCCCUAGACGUCCUCGACGUUUGCGCGGGAGUGUGCUGCCGUGCAGAGUGCACAGCAGUGGCCGCACCAGGCGCCGAAAGGUUGGUGGCCCGCGGUGUGGAAGAGGCAGCCGCCUCUUCCACCAUGAAGUCCUCGGGCAAGAGAUCAUGGUGCUCGACGAUGUGGACCAUGGAGUUGAGCAGAAGAUUAAGCAAAAACCUAAAGCCUAUCCCCCUACCUGGCGCGCCAAAUGUCGGAGAGGAAAUCUCCGGCCAGGUGGCGGAAUGCACCCGCCCUAAAUCCUAAGAUGAGGAGGGGCCUAAGUGUUUUGCCUGUUAGGUGGAAACGGGAAGAACACAAGAACACACAAGGAUUUAGAGUGGUUCGGGCCGCUGGAGCGUAAUACCCUACUCAACUAUGUGAUGUAUUGAGCUUGAGAGCUUGUAUGAACUUGUGAGUGUGAGAGUCUAAGUGUGUCUGCCUUGUAACGUUGCGUGCCUCCCCUUUUAUAGCUCAAGGGGGCACGUACAAGGGUGCUGAGCCCCGACAUGCGGGCCCAGGAACAUAACAGAUGUAAUAUUUGUAGUAACUAAUGCUGGUCGCCAGUGCAAUCUCCUUGCGCCCUGAUAUCCGCGGUCUACGUAGCAUUGGCGUGCAGCGGAAGCUUCCCUAGCAACGUACAAGUGAUGAUGAGCACAGCGUAUGCCGCAGCAUGGGCAUACUGCCUGCCACCGGAAUGGACAGGCACGUCGCCUUCAGGAUGGCCUGGUCGCCGCCCAUCAACAGAUUGGAUAGGGCUCAUCUAAUGCUGAGGCGGCACAUCGCCUGCCAGUGGAGUAGACAAGGCUCAUUAAAUGCCGAGGCGGCACAUCGCCUGCCAGUGGAGUGGACAGGCGACGCGACUUAUCCGCAAUUAAUGCAGAGGCCACGCGGCCCAGAGGCCUUACAUCACGCUCCGCCUGUAGGCUUAUGUCACGGGCAGUGGGCCACGUGGCAGCAUCGGGUCUCCGCCUGAGUGGGGAGCAGAAGCGUACACGACAUGGUCCGGACACGUGUCGGCUCUGGACCCCCGUCUGGUCUUGAUUAAGGUCCGGGUAGUCUUUGUCCCAGAAUCCGGGGACCCUACCAUGAGUAGCCUGGACCCCACACAGAGGGGUCCGGGACCCAUACCGGGGGUCCGGUUCGUGCCCGUGGGGGUCCUGGACUUCACACGGAGGUCCAGUUCGUAUAUACAGGGGUCCGGUACUUCCCAUGGGGGUCCAGACCUACUGACGAUACCUUGGAGGAUAUCGUCUUCUUUGGCCACGUGGCGGCCCUGGAGCUGCCCGCGUGGUGGGGUCGGGCGCUGUUUGCCACGCGACUAGAGAUAGCCGCGUGGACUCCGCGCCUUCAUACUGUAGUAAGGGGUACCCCUGUUCCAGGGUACUGACAGUCUCCAAACCAAAGAUUUUAUGAUUAAGUUGGGACAACAUAGUAUAACGUCUAGAUAAAGUAUCAGCAAUCACAUUAUCCUUUCCUUUUUUAUGCUUAGUAAUGUAAGGAAAUGAUUCUAUGAAUUCAAUCCAUUUAGCAUGUCGUUUGUUUAGAUUAGAUUGUCCCUUAAGAUACUUCAAAGAUUCAUGAUCCGAAUGUAUGACAAAUUCUUUAGGCCAUAGAUAACGUUGCCAAGUUUGCAAAACUCGUACUAAAGCAUAUAAUUCUUUGUCAUAUGUAGAAUAAUUCAGAGUUGGAUCAUGAAAUUUUUCACUAAAGAAAGCAACAGGUUUACCUCCUUGAAUGAGCACUCCUCCAAUCCCAAUGCCGCUCGCAUCAUACUCGAGCUCGAAUGUCUUGUCAAAAUCAGGAAGUUGCAGCAGUGGUGCUUGUGUGAGCUUUGACUUGAGGGCAUCAAAAGCUUGUUGUUGUGAUGGUCCCCAACGAAACAUCACUCCAUUCUUUGUCAACUCAUGGAGAGGUGCUGCAAUGGUGCUGAAAUCCCGCACAAAUCGCAUGUAGAAUCCUGCAAGACCAAGAAAACUUCGAACCUGCAUGACCGUGGUUGGAAGUGGCCAGCUCGUGAUGGCAACAAUUUUUGUCUCAUCCAUCUCAAUGCCCUGCGAUGUCACAACAUAUCCAAGAAAAUACACACGAUCGGUGUUGAAGGUGCACUUCUCAAGGUUACCAAAUAAACGUGCAUCACGCAAAACAUCAAAAACAACACAUAAAUGUUCAAUAUGAUCAUCAUGAGACUUACUAUAGAUAAGAAUAUCAUCAAAAUAUACCACCACAAAUUUACCAAUGAAAGCACGUAAAACCUCGUUCAUCAAUCCCAUGAAAGUGCUAGGCGCAUUAGUUAACCCAAAAGGCAUGACUAACCACUCAUAAAGACCGAACCUAGUUUUAAAUGCAGUUUUCCAUUCAUCACCUAAAGACAUACGAAUCUGGUGGUAUCCACUACGCAAGUCAAUAUUAGAGAAAACAAUAGAACCACUUAAUUCAUCAAGCAUGUCAUCCAAUCUAGGAAUAGGAUAUCUAUACCGAAUUGUGAUGUUAUUAAUGGCUCUACAAUCAACACACAUGCGCCAAGUGCCAUCUUUCUUAGGAACCAAAAGAAUAGGAACAAAACAAGGACUAAGGCUCUCACGAAUGUACCUGCGGUCCAGAAGGUCCUGGACCUGGCGCUGAAUCUCCUUAGUCUCCUCGGGGUUGGUCCUGUAGGCAGCACGGUUGGGCAAGUUCGCCCCUGGAAUUAAAUCAAUCUUAUGCUCAAUGCCUCGCACAGGUGGUAAUCCAGGGGGUAUCUCAGAGGGAAACACAUCCAUAUACUCUCGCAAAAGGUUAGCAAUAGCCGGUGGCAAAGCAAUAGACGUAUCAUCAAUGGAAUAGAAAGCAUUUUUGCACACUAAGGCAUAGCAAAGUCCAACAAAGGCAUGUAACUCAUCAAGAUCAGAUUUAGUGGCUAGCAAAGUAGGAGUUUUUAACUUAAUAUGUUGCUGAUUUUUAGAGUUCAAAACACCUUUUUGCUUAGCAUUAGUCUUUUUCUCAUAUUCAAAGUGGACAAUUUCAGUGGGAGUCAUAGGAAGCAACACAAUUUUCUUUCCCUUAUGCAUGAAAGUAUAUUUAUUAGAUCUACCAUGGUGAAUAGCAUCAGUAUCAAACUCCCAAGGACGUCCCAGUAAAAGAGAGCAAGCAUACAUAGUCACCACAUCGAAAUCAGCAAAGUCAUGGUAAGAGCCAAUAGAAAAAUGCACCCUUGCUGUUUUUGUUACCUGGAACUUACCGCUGUCGUUAAACCAUUGAAUGUGAUAAGGGUGGGGAUGCUCUCGUGUGGUUAAGCCAAGCUUCUUGACCACCUCAACGUUCACCAAGUUGUUGCAGCUACCACCGUCAAUGAUGGUAUGUACACGACAGUUCUUGACGAUGAGGAACAUGUUGAAGAGGUUGUGGCACUGUCUGUUGUCGUCGUCACUAGCCAUGGCACUCAAAGCUCGUUGCACAAUCAAGGCCUUAUAGGUCUCGGUCGCUGUUGUACCAAGAACCUCUUCAUCACCAUCAUAAGUCUCUGCAAUGUUAGCUCCAACAGUAUCUUCAUCUUCAACAUCAGAAGCACUAACAUACCCACCAUCACCAGUAGCAAUGUAUGCCCGUUUGCUAGGGCAAUCUCGCUGAAUAUGGCCAAGUCCUUGGCAGCGGUGGCACUUGAUGUCAGAGGAGCAGCCUGUGGAAGAGGUGGUCGUAGCAGGUUUUGCUGCAACACCCGAAGGCACCAAGGACUUGCUCUUGUCGUGUCCCUAUGAUGCCGAAGGUGCGGUGCUGCGUGUGCCACUGGUGGCGGAAGAUGUGGACGUCUGUACGCUCGAAGAGGAUGACGCCUUGGUUGGCGCCGGUGGCUGGCGUGGCGCGAAAGUGCUGCUCCUCCGCUGUUGACGACCCUUUAAUUCUUUUUCUGCCAACAUAGAAAGAUGGAACAAGCGUUGUAUAGAAUGAUAUUCUUUAUAAUCAACAAUAUCCUGAAUCUCCCGCCUCAAUCCCCCAUAAAACCUAACCAUUUGAUCCUCCGGAUCCUCAACUACCCCACAUCGUAGCAUACCUUUCUGAAGCUCUUGGUAGUAUUCCUGUACCGACAUGUCUCCCUGAUCUAAGCGUUGCAAUUUUUUUUGAAGAUCACGUCUAUAAGAAGGGGGAACAAAGCGAGCUCGCAUCUCCUCUUUUAAUGCAUUCCAUGUUUGUGGUGCAGCACAUGUCUUAACAAGUUCAUUCCACCAAAUGAUAGCAAAAUCUCUAAAUUCACUAGUGGCUUGUCUAACCCUAUGCUGCUCAGGAACAAGAUGGGAAUUAAAUUUUUGUUCUACCGUCAUCUCCCAGUCUAAGUAAGCUUCAACAUUAUAAGAACCCAUGAACGGUGGAAUAGAGAACUUAAUCUUAGCAAAUGGAUCAUGGUAUGGUUCAGGAUUAUGAUGACGGCGUCUACCAUUACCUCCCAUACCUUGUCGAUUACGUGCGAGGCGUUGUUGCAGCGGUGCAUAAAGAUCGUCGUCAUCGUCCACAGGAGAGUGAGCUGGGGCUGGAGUUGGUGGUGGGGGACGAGCCUCCAGUACGUCCAUGCGUGUAACAAGUUCAGCAACUCGUCGAUCAAGCUGCUCAUAGGAUGUCGCCGCAGAGUCCUGGUAUUUUUUAAAAGCUUUAGUCAUCGCGCGCAUCAUCUCCUUCAAUUCCAGCUAAGAGACACACUCAUCAUCGUUAAGCUUAGGCCCCUUGUCCUUGUCCAUUUGAUUCUUUGGUCCUGUCAUUGUUAGCACAAAACAGAGAUAAAAAGGCAACAAACAAUGUGAACCCUACAACUAUCUCUCAGGGUGGUGGUGGUGGAAUACAAAUUAUGAAGCAUCUUACCCCGCUCUUACAAGGUUCUUACCAGCACUGCAGGUGGCAAACGGUGACCGGUGUGACUGUCCAACGAGCGUGGGUGUGAUUGCAAAGGAGUACCUGUUCUGCUCGAGAGAAAGCUGGAGCUCUAGGAAGGCUGACUAAAUAUAUAUAUGUGGCACACAAGUCAGUAACAGAUAGCAAUGCUGAAUAAGUCUUCCAAGUACUGGUCCUAGUUGCUGGCCUAGAAAAUGUAAUAGAACAGUUGGACCAAGGCACAAGAAAGGAGGUACAAGUAUCUAGGUGCAGCAAGAAAACAGGCUUGGGGCAAAAUAAUCACAGAGGUGCACAGAACACUGGCGUUUUUGUUUAUGUGCUACUCUUUUCUUCUUUUUCCUUUUUUUGCGAUUUUUUUUCAAAUAUUUUUUAUAUUUUUCUCUUUUGCAGCAGCACAUAAGAAGAAAACACACCAAGUUUCAGAUUUUUUUGUGCAAUGUCGCGUCCUUUGGAAUUUCUACAAGUUUGCCCUAAAAUCGGAAUAAAUGUUUGGAAAAUGAGAAGUCCUAUUUCCAAGCCGAAUUUGGGAAUUUUAAAAACAGCAAAUCUGGCGGAGCGGGAAAGAAUCGGAUGCGAAAUUUAAUUCUUUGCGAUUUGAAAAAAAUGGGCUCGAUUCGAGUUCCGAGGCGAAAGUUACAGCCGUUUUAAGUUUGGACUCCGAAUCAGGGUUUCUGGCGAGGUGUUGGAAGGGUGGGGGGUUCGGUUUUAUGGAUAGGGUCGGUUUUAGAGAUAGGAUAUAUUUUAUGGAUAGGGUCGGUUGUAGAUAUAAGAUCUAUUUUGUGGAUAGGGUCGGUUUUAGAGAUAUGAUUUGUUUUGUAGAUAGGGUCGGUUUUGUAGGAUGGAAGCGGAUGGACAGAAUCAAACUGAACCAAAACAAAUCUAAACCAGCCACCAAACUCAACCUAGAACACGAACUCAGAACUGCGGACUCUAAAACUGAAUUGUGCAAAGGCUAAGACAAUGGUUUAGGUCGGAAUAAACUGAUCAUGAUUAUUUUUUUGGCUUUUUGUGGACUAUGGGAUGAAACAAAAUUAAUCUAAAGGUAGGAUUAUACCUCACGGACAACCAGGAAAUCUGAUACCAAUUGAUAGAAGAUGCGACCUGAUCUUCCGUGAGAUACGAUAACUUGAUUGAGUGGAGAUCUCGACGUUGAUGAUCCAAGGCUCCGAGCGAACGGAUCCUCGCAAUCACUACACCACGGCUCUGUUGGUUAUCACCCGUGACACACGAGUGACAUCGCCACGAAGGCUUAUCCCUGCAAGCGCAAUCAAGAACACAAGCAAGAACAAGAAAGAAACGCAACCAAAAUUGUAUUGAUUACAGAAUGGUGUCUCAUAAACCGAUGACGACGACACUGUUCGAUGACAGAAUUGAUCUAAGCAAAACCGAAACCUAAUGUGGUGGUGGCUGCUGAAUAAAUAGAGUAUUAGGGUGUGCGCGACCCCCUAGACUCGCCCCUAAUGGGCUCCGACGCGAUACACGGCCCAAUGGCCCAACAGACAGUGUCGCAGCACCAAAACAGAAUCUGAAUGCUGAAUUGUUUCGACGAUUCUCGUUGAAUCCGGAUGAAUUUUAAGGUGGAACUAGUUGGGUUGGUUAGAUAAUCUCUUUAUCUUUCCAACCAUAUCAAGUUCGUCGCAAUCGGAGUCCGAAUGCAUCUUGGGCGUCUAUUUUAGUGCAGACUGGUCCUAGACCCCAAGAUGGAGUCGCAGCCGAGUCAGACUUGAUCUCCUUCCUGUUGUGGGUGCCCUUGCUGCUCCUCCUCAACACCUUGGUCUUUCCCAAGUCCUUGCUGGUUCUCUCCAAGGUUCCUAAUCAUCAAAACAUCAAUUGCCCCAAGCGUAAGCUCUGAAACACAAUUGACUAGGGUAGAACAUACCUGGAGAUUUAGUUGUCGUGCACGCGAUCGUGUUAUCGGUCCAUUCAUUGUAUGUAUAGAAGUGAUGUCCUCAUCAAACUUGCUCUUCAGAUGACACGUGUCCUCACUGCUAAACGUAGCAAUACAGACAAACAUGGUACAGGCAAAAUUAAUAUUACACCAAACAUAAUAAUAAACUGCGUAAUAAUAAUCUACGGGUUGCUAUGAGAUCGUGGCAACGAGAAUCGCUAAAUUCGGAGUUACGGUUAAGAAGUUAUGGUUUUCUGAAGAUCCACAUGGUUAAAUAUAGAAUAGACUAAGCGUAAUAUUUUAACCUAUAUUUCAUGACAAAACAAAGUUGUCAGAUGAUAAUAAAUAUUAUUGUGAGACUAAUGCAACUAGAAUAGAUCAAAAAGGAGGUACUAUUAUUGAGUUACAAAUUUCUAAAGAUUUAAUAGUGGUGUAUAAAAGGAAUUAAGUACAAAAUUUCAGUUUAGGUUUCAUAACAAAAUAAAGUUACUGGAUGAUAAACAAUAUUAUUACAAGUCUAAUGCAACUGGAAUGAAUUAAUUUGGAGUUAAAAUGGUUUUAAUACGAAUUAAACAAGUUUCUUGAUUUAUUUUUAAACUAAAAAUCAUUUUCUGAAUUAUUCUAUCCCUUUUAUUCAACACCUGGGCUGCGGACACAAUUUCCGGAAAGCACAGGGUGCACUUUAUAAAAACCAGGGGCCUAUACCGAAUUACUUAACAUGGAAAGGGUUGGCGGGUUGAUAAGUCAAAAGGGCGAGGGUUCUUUUAGAAAACGACCACGACUGUUAUAAUGCGCGGGCAACCAGAGUCAUCCAGAUCGAAUCCAAUGGUCACAAUACAACGCGCGAAGGGGUACGCUUGAUUAAAUCAUGGCCCCCAUCUGUGAGUCGACGGUUCUGAUCUAUCAGAUUGAAGCGGUAUCCCUAGGGGUAAUCUGAGCCGUCCAUCAGUCGACCAACGACUCCUGUUUUCCCCACCAAUCUACACAAGGACGCGGCGGCGCCGGUCACCAGGGCGGCGGCGCCAUUGCCGGCAUGCCACCACCCCACACCCCAGUAUCCCAAACUUCAACCCAGCGCGUGCUACACAUAGAGGAGGUCAAGGCGAACCUAGAGGAGUAUUUCUUACUAGCAAUGGUGUAGUGGAGAUCUCGAGCCACAGUGAGGUGCGGUUUUUCCAACGUGCGUGACGACGGCGAACAAUCCGCCGACCACCAGGGUCUCUCCAGGCUAGAUGCCGCCAUAUCCGAGUCCCGAAGAUCACGACAAAGCUCCCAAGGCCGAGUUUGCGCACCGAACAGCAACAGGGACACAGUCCCAUGGCGGCGGCGUCUGGUUCUCCUUCUCUGCUCCGGACCGUGGUGGAGCCCGUGCUUGCUUCUCGUUUCUCUCUCGGUUUCCGUUUAUGGCGCCUGGCUCGCGUUCUUAUAGCCUUGCAAAGUUGGUCCCAUGCCGCUAGCAACAAACUCCGGAUUCCAUGGAACAAGGGGCGGCGUGGCAUGCACGGCGAAGACCGGUAGAGGGGAUAGAGCUGAUGAGGGUGGCCCACCAGUAAUUGAACGCAAGUAUGGCACAAGAGGCUGGCGAGCGGGACCCACACGUUGGUGUCCCCGCGUGUGGAGGGCGCACUGGGCUGAGGGGAAGUGGGCCGCGCGGAGGGGGGAAAUAGGAGAGGAAUGGACCGGCAGAUGGGAAUGUUGGCCCAGCUACGGGUACAACCAUAUUUCUUUUUUUUUCAUGAUUUCAUAUUUCAAUCCUAAUUUCAAAUCAGGUUUUUAAAUUCCAAUUUCUAAUUAAAUGUAAAUAGAGUUCAAGCUUAAAACAAAUUAUGUGCACAGACAAAACUCCAAUAUGAAUUCAAAAGUAUAAUUUUUGUUAUUUAUUAUCCCUUUUAGCAAUUGUUCUCAACAUACAAGCCAUAAAGAUUAUUUUUAGGAGAAAUAAAUUCUAAUGUGUAACCUUCAUUAAAAGGUGGUUUUACUUACCCUCCUUAAGAAUAUCCCUCAACCAUAUUAGUAAAAAAAUAAUCUAAUUCAUAUGAAGAUAUUUCCACUUUCUUUGAUUUCUUUAUUUAUUUAUUUUCUAUUUGCAUAAACUAAUGUCAUUAGUUAAGUAUGAAAGAAGGAAUCAAGAAAUCCCUAAAACACUCAAUUAUUUAUUUAUUUAUUUAUUUUAUUAUUAUCUUUCUUUAUACCAAUUUUGGGCUUUACACAACCACUUAGUUUCUUUUCAAACUUUGCCUCUAUCAUUUUUCAAUCAGUAUUUCCUAACCUCUUGUUGUGCAUCGGGAUACCUAGAUAUUUAAACACGUACUCCUUUCUUACAGCCAAAAAUCUGUUGAUAUUGAUGUUCCUCCUCUACUGCCUUACGAAAACAGAAUAGCUCACUUUUAUGGUAAUUAAUUUUCAAACCGAAGACUUGCUCAAAGGCUACAAAAAGCGAUUUCAGAUUUGCUGCUUUCUCUAAAUCAUUAUCAAAAAACAACAAGGUGUCAUCUGCGUAUUGCAAAAUAGAGAGCCCUCCAUCUACUAAAUGUGGCACUAGACCGUCAACUUGACCAUCUGCUUUAGCUCUAUUAAUAAGAAUAGCAAGCAUAUCCACUACUACAUUAAAAAGAAUGGGAGAGAGCGGGUCUCCUUGCCUCAACCCAUUGUCCAAAUUUCCUGUUGCUAAAGCUUUGUUGUUAUCUUAUUUGUUGCUUUCCGUGGUAAGAUAUCGUGGGUUCAUUCGUUUCUAAUACAGUGGCAUCCUUUGCUUUUCCUACCUUUUUGUUCACAUGUGGUUCUGACCGCGUACGCAGUCUUGGAGCAGUGGCUGGUGCUGUACGUAUCCGCUGAUACUUCGUCCUCGUUGACUCCAGUGUAAGUUUCCUCCGGCCGACUGAAACUUCCAGUUACCUACCGUAUUGACUAGUUCUCUCUCGUUGUCUAGCGUAGCACCUCACUGGUUCAGGACUGAAUGUUGCUGGCGACUUGGAAGACCGAACGCUUCGAUGUGCCUGCUAGGAGAAAUGCAAAGCUCGAGUUGCUGCAUUGUGACGUUGUGGCUCGAGAAAUGGCGCCCUUUUGGACAGUCAUCUCCAGUUGUGUUUGAUUUUACCGGGUCUUCUUUUUUUUCCCUGGCCAUACAUGGAUCUUAGUUGCGCAACGUUGGUCUGGGAUUGUGCACAAGUCAUCAUGGACGUUUGUGGCAAAAUUCUACUAGCAUGGAUAUCUGGACUCGGGUACUACUACGCAGACGGCAGACCUUGUUGUAUUGUAUCUUUGCUUCACAUCUCUGCCACACGUUCGAACUCCAGAGCCAGCAAAGCCUGCAUCUCUUCUCCUUCGUCAGGCAACCCUCUGCUGACCGGCACCGCCUGCAUAGUUUCAUCAUUCGUGUUAGAUGAACCUUCAUAUAUUUAGCCAGAUUGGAUAGCUGCGCGUCUAUGCACAAGCUGGUGCCGUUCUAGCUAGCCAGAUAAGAUAAUUUUGAGCGUAUUGAUGGAUACAGAUUAAUACCAUCAAAAUGGUUUUGUUUCAGUUUUUUGCAGCUU
rnacentral:lncRNA from 1 species